AUUGAACGCUGGCGGCAUGCCUAACACAUGCAAGUCGAACGAGUGGCGGACGGGUGAGUAAUGUCUGGGAACGUGCCUGAUGGAGGGGGAUAACUCCUGGAAACGGUGGCUAAUACCGCAUACCAUCAGAUGGGCCCAGAUGGGAUUAGCUAGUUGGUGGGGUAACGGCUCACCAAGGCGACGAUCCCUAGCUGGUCUGAGAGGAUGACCAGCCACACGGGAACUGAGACACGGUCCAGACUCCUACGGGAGGCAGCAGUGGGGAAUAUUGGACAAUGGGCGAAAGCCUGAUGCAGCCAUGCCGCGUGUAUGAAGAAGGCCUUCGGGUUGUAAAGUACUUUAAGCGGGGAGGCGUUACCCGCAGAAGAAGCACCGGCUAACUACGUGCCAGCAGCCGCGGUAAUUC
rnacentral:rRNA from 1 species